rnacentral:rRNA from 1 species
AUUGAACGCUGGCGGCAGGCCUAACACAUGCAAGUCGAACGGUAACAGGAAGCAGCUUGCUGCUUCGCUGACGAGUGGCGGACGGGUGAGUAAUGUCUGGGAAACUGCCUGAUGGAGGGGGAUAACUACUGGAAACGGUAGCUAAUACCGCAUAACGUCGCAAGACCAAAGAGGGGGACCUUCGGGCCUCUUGCCAUCAGAUGUGCCCAGAUGGGAUUAGCUUGUUGGUGGGGUAACGGCUCACCAAGGCGACGAUCCCUAGCUGGUCUGAGAGGAUGACCAGCCACACUGGAACUGAGACACGGUCCAGACUCCUAUGGGAGGCAGCAGUGGGGAAUAUUGCACAAUGGGCGCAAGCCUGAUGCAGCCAUGCCGCGUGUAUGAAGAAGGCCUUCGGGUUGUAAAGUACUUUCAGCGGGGAGGAAGGUGUUGUGGUUAAUAACCACAGCAAUUGACGUUACCCGCAGAAGAAGCACCGGCUAACUCCGUGCCAGCAGCCGCGGUAAUACGGAGGGUGCAAGCGUUAAUCGGAAUUACUGGGCGUAAAGCGCACGCAGGCGGUCUGUUAAGUCAGAUGUGAAAUCCCCGGGCUCAACCUGGGAACUGCAUCUGAUACUGGCAGGCUUGAGUCUCGUAGAGGGGGGUAGAAUUCCAGGUGUAGCGGUGAAAUGCGUAGAGAUCUGGAGGAAUACCGGUGGCGAAGGCGGCCCCCUGGACGAAGACUGACGCUCAGGUGCGAAAGCGUGGGGGAGCAAACAGGAUUAGAUACCCUGGUAGUCCACGCCGUAAACGAUGUCGACUUGGAGGUUGUGCCCUUGAGGCGUGGCUUCCGGAGCUAACGCGUUAAGUCGACCGCCUGGGGAGUACGGCCGCAAGGUUAAAACUCAAAUGAAUUGACGGGGGCCCGCACAAGCGGUGGAGCAUGUGGUUUAAUUCGAUGCAACGCGAAGAACCUUACCUGGUCUUGACAUCCACGGAAGUUUUCAGAGAUGAGAAUGUGCCUUCGGGAACCGUGAGACAGGUGCUGCAUGGCUGUCGUCAGCUCGUGUUGUGAAAUGUUGGGUUAAGUCCCGCAACGAGCGCAACCCUUAUCCUUUGUUGCCAGCGGUUAGGCCGGGAACUCAAAGGAGACUGCCAGUGAUAAACUGGAGGAAGGUGGGGAUGACGUCAAGUCAUCAUGGCCCUUACGACCAGGGCUACACACGUGCUACAAUGGCAUAUACAAAGAGAAGCGACCUCGCGAGAGCAAGCGGACCUCAUAAAGUAUGUCGUAGUCCGGAUUGGAGUCUGCAACUCGACUCCAUGAAGUCGGAAUCGCUAGUAAUCGUGGAUCAGAAUGCCACGGUGAAUACGUUCCCGGGCCU